rnacentral:rRNA from 1 species
UACAGAGGGGGCAAGCGUUGUUCGGAAUUACUGGGCGUAAAGGGCGCGUAGGCGGCCUUCUAAGUCGAACGUGAAAUCCCUGGGCUCAACCCAGGAACUGCGUCCGAUACUGGAAGGCUUGAAUCCGGGAGAGGGAUGCAGAAUUCCAGGUGUAGCGGUGAAAUGCGUAGAUAUCUGGAGGAAUACCGGUGGCGAAGGCGGCAUCCUGGACCGACAUUGACGCUGAGGAGCGAAAGCUAGGGGAGCAAACGGG